GAUUUACUCUACAAAUCGCCAGGAACAAAAAAAACAAAGACCAGAAGCUGAGUUUUUACCCAUUUCCUCUAAAUGACAAAGAAACACUUGAAAAGUGGUAAAAAAAAAAAAAAAAAAUAGCAAGAUUGAUGGGUUUCUAGUAAAUACCAGUUACUAUGUAGUGACCAUUUCACUCCUGACUCUCUUGACAUCAGACGGGGGAUUUGAUAUUUAAAACAAAGUACAGUUCCAACAACUUUUUCCUCUGCCUGAAGACAAUCAAGUAAAAGAUCCUUCUUAAAAAAAAAAAAAAUUCACAGAAGAAACAAUUGGAAGAUGAGAAAAAAGUAUGCCUAAAAGCCAAAUCAGAAAAAUCACUUGUAUUAAAUGAGGCAAAGAAAAAUAUAGUUAACACAGAUGUGCUCCCUGAACACGCAAUUACUUGAUUCAUCUGCCUUGGUGAAGCCACUGGCUUCUAAAAUAGGAAACCAGAAUCUACGUUGGAAACAUCAGUUAACUAAAAUAUGGAUAUAGGUGCUUUUCACACAUCUUUUGAGUAUCUAAAUUUUACAACUAUUACUUUGAUAAUUUCAAAUUCAGAAGGUAUUCAACAGUCUUUGGAAACCCAAGAAGUGCUUGAAAUAACUACCAAUCAUCUUGCUAAUCCAAAUUUUACAAAUAUUCCAUGAAAAUCAGGUCAGCACAGGAUAAUUCAUUCUUAUUUAGCACAAUUAAUCAAACAGUUGAAGAAUUAAACACAAAUAAAUAAUCUAUUAUUGCCAUUUUUCUAAACCCGUAGUUAAUUCUUUUAUAUCUGCCCAAAAAGAAACCAGGGAAAUGGAAGACAUAGACAUUGAAGACUCCUUACAUAAGGAUGUAAACUAUGGAAAUUGAACAUUCUUACUGCAGACAAGACACAACUAAAGAACAUUUUUGGCAGAAAGUCUGUAAGCUACAUUCUAAGAUAACUCUUCCUGACCUACAAACAACAAACUAUAGGUAGACUGAAGUCUUUGGAAGUUCUUAUAAGACAGCCAAAGCAGGAAAACUGGCUAUCUGAAGAAAAUGUCAGAUGAUAAAAAACUGUUUUACAACAGGGGAUGUCACUAUGAU
rnacentral:lncRNA from 1 species